UACGGAGGGUGCGAGCGUUGUCCGGAAUUACUGGGCGUAAAGGGCGCGCAGGCGGCCCUCCAAGUCAGGCGUGAAAGCCCCGGGCUCAACCCGGGAAUAGCGCUUGAGACUGGGGGGCUUGAGUUCGGGAGAGGAGAGUGGAAUUCCCAGUGUAGAGGUGAAAUUCGUAGAUAUUGGGAAGAACACCGGUGGCGAAGGCGGCUCUCUGGACCGACACUGACGCUGAGGCGCGAAAGCGUGGGGAGCAAACAGG
rnacentral:rRNA from 1 species